rnacentral:rRNA from 1 species
GACAGGUGAUCAGGUAGAGGAUACCAAGGCGAUCGAGUGAACCAUGGUUAAGGAACUCGGCAAAAUGCCCCCGUAACUUCGGGAGAAGGGGGGCCGGAUGCGUUACCUCACUUGCUGGGGGAAGCGUUGAUGGCCGCAGAGACCAGGCCCAAGCGACUGUUUACUAAAAACACAGGUCCGUGCGAAGAAGUAAUUCGAUGUAUACGGACUGACGCCUGCCCGGUGCUGGAACGUUAAGGGGACAGGUUAGCUGGUUUAGGCCGGCGAAGCUUUGAACUUAAGCGCCAGUAAACGGCGGUGGUAACUAUAACCAUCCUAAGGUAGCGAAAUUCCUUGUCGGGUAAGUUCCGACCUGCACGAAUGGCGUAACGACUUGGGCGCUGUCUCAACCAUGGACUCGGCGAAAUUGCAUUACGAGUAAAGAUGCUCGUUACGCGCAGCAGGACGGAAAGACCCCGGGACCUUUACUACAACUUGGUAUUGGUGGUCGGUACAACUUGUGUAGGAUAGGUGGGAGACUGUGAAAUCCGGACGCCAGUUCGGGUGGAGUCAUCGUUGAAAUACCACUCUGGUUGUUCUGGCUGUCUAACUUCGGUCCAUUAUCUGGAUCAGGGACAGUGCCUGGUGGGUAGUUUGACUGGGGCGGUCGCCUCCUAAAAGGUAACGGAGGCGCUCAAAGGUUCCCUCAGCCUGGUUGGCAAUCAGGUGUCGAGUGUAAGUGCACAAGGGAGCUUGACUGUGAGACAGACAUGUCGAGCAGGGACGAAAGUCGGAACUAGUGAUCCGGCGGUGGCAUGUGGGAGCACCGUCGCUCAACGGAUAAAAGGUACCCCGGGGAUAACAGGCUGAUCUUCCCCAAGAGUCCAUAUCGACGGGAUGGUUUGGCACCUCGAUGUCGGCUCGUCGCAUCCUGGGGCUGGAGUAGGUCCCAAGGGUUGGGCUGUUCGCCCAUUAAAGCGGCACGCGAGCUGGGUUUAGAACGUCGUGAGACAGUUCGGUCCCUAUCCGCUGCGCGCGCAGGAGACUUGAGAAGGGCUGCCCCUAGUACGAGAGGACCGGGGUGGACGAACCUCUGGUGUGCCAGUUGUUCCGCCAGGAGCACGGCUGGUUGGCUACGUUCGGGAGUGAUAACCGCUGAAAGCAUCUAAGCGGGAAGCACGCUUCAAGAUGAGGUCUCCCACCGAGUUAAUCGGGUAAGGCCCCCAGUAGACCACUGGGUUGAUAGGCCAGAGGUGGAAGCGCCGUAAGGUGUGGAGCUGACUGGUACUAAUAGGCCGAGGGCUUGUCUCG